CGCCCUUGAGUUUGAUCAUGGCUCAGAUUGAACGCUGGCGGCAGGCCUAACACAUGCAAGUCGAGCGGAUGAAGAGAGCUUGCUCUCUGAUUCAGCGGCGGACGGGUGAGUAAUGCCUAGGAAUCUGCCUGGUAGUGGGGGACAACGUUUCGAAAGGAACGCUAAUACCGCAUACGUCCUACGGGAGAAAGCAGGGGACCUUCGGGCCUUGCGCUAUCAGAUGAGCCUAGGUCGGAUUAGCUAGUUGGUGGGGUAAUGGCUCACCAAGGCGACGAUCCGUAACUGGUCUGAGAGGAUGAUCAGUCACACUGGAACUGAGACACGGUCCAGACUCCUACGGGAGGCAGCAGUGGGGAAUAUUGGACAAUGGGCGAAAGCCUGAUCCAGCCAUGCCGUGUGUGUGAAGAAGGUCUUCGGAUUGUAAAGCACUUUAAGUUGGGAGGAAGGGUUGUAGAUUAAUACUCUGCAAUUUUGACGUUACCGACAGAAUAAGCACCGGCUAACUCUGUGC
rnacentral:rRNA from 1 species